UCUCUCUCUCUUCCUCCCUCCCUCCCUCUUUCCUGUCCUGUCCUGUCCUUUCUUUAGACUGAGUUUCGCUCUUGUCGCCCAGGCUGGAAUGCAAUGGUGUGAUCUCUGCUCACUGCAACCUCCGUCUCCUGGGUUCAAGCGAUUCUCCUGCCUCAGCCUCCUGAGUAGCUGGUAUUACAGGCUCCCGCCAUCACGCCUGGCUAAUUUUUUGUAUUUUUAGUAGAGACAGGGUUCACCAUGUUGGUCAGGCUGGUCUCAAACUCCUGACCUCAGGUGAUCCACCCGCCUUAGCCUCCCAAAGAGCUGGGAUUACAGGCGUGAGCCACUGUGCCUGGCCUACCUGAGUGAUAUUUGUUAAGUAAAUCUAAAUGACCUAGAAUUCAGAAAAUUCUUUUCAGUGGUGUUAUCAAUCCCUCUUG
rnacentral:lncRNA from 10 species